rnacentral:misc_RNA from 1 species
UUUUUUAGUUCAUGAUAUGGAGAAGAAAGAUGAGAUGGUAGCAGUACUUAACAUCGCUCUUGCUUGUGUACACGUGAGCCCUGAUAAGAGACCUUCUAUGAGGAUUGUUAGUGAUACUCUGGAAAGAUUGGCCUCAUUCACUUGAGGAAAUCCUCGUGUACACAUUCUUUGAAGAAACAGAUUCGUGUUCCUAGUUUUCUUCUGCAAUAAAGUGAAAUGGGUGC